UACGGGGGGGGCAAGCGUUGUUCGGAAUUACUGGGCGUAAAGGGCUCGUAGGCGGCCAACUAAGUCGGACGUGAAAUCCCCAGGCUUAACUUGGGAACUGCGUCCGAUACUGGAUGGCUUGAAUCCGGGAGAGGGAUGCGGAAUUCCAGGUGUAGCGGUGAAAUGCGUAGAUAUCUGGAGGAACACCGGUGGCGAAGGCGGCAUCCUGGACCGGUAUUGACGCUGAGUGAGCGAAAGCCAGGGGAGCAA
rnacentral:rRNA from 1 species